AAUGAUGUGCUGUAAUCUCUUUACCAAUAUUGAUUUACUAUUUUUGCACCAAUAUUCAUUAAGAAAAUUGGUCUAUAAUUUUUUUUCUCUGUUUUCACCCUACCUGGUUUAGGUAUUAACACCACAUCUGUGUCAUAUAAAGAAUUUGAACUAGAUGUCCUUGGCAGGAUGAGUUCAUCACUUCAAAAUUCACAAUCAAGAUUCAAGACAAUUACAAUAGACUUGUGAUGGAACAUGCCAUCCACAUCCAGAGAGAGAACUAUGGAGACUGAAUGUGGAUCAAAGCAUAGUAUUUUCACCUUUGUGGUUGUGUGCUUGCUAAUUUUUUCUCUUUCUUAUGUUUUUCCCUUUUGAUAUGAUUUUUUAAUAGCAUGAUGAAUAUGGAAAUAUGUUUAGAAGAAUUGCAUAUUUAACCUAUAUUGGAUUGUUUGCUGAAUUGGAGGAAGAGGAGGGAGAGGGAGAAAACUUUGGAACACGAGAUUUUGUGAAAGUGAAUGCUGAAAACUAUCUUUGCAUGUAUUUGGAAAAAUAAAAUACAAAAUAAAAUAAACUCACUAUGAGGCUCCUA